CCUACGGGAGGCAGCAGUGGGGAAUAUUGGUCAAUGGACGAGAGCCUGAACCAGCCACGCCGCGUGAAGGAUGACUGCUUUCGGGGUUGUAAACUCUUUUUAUAUGGGAAUACAAUAUUCCACGUGUCUGAAAUUGUCUGUAUCAUACGAAUAAGGAUCGGCCAACUCCGUGCCAGCAGCCGCGGUAAUACGGAGGUUCCGAGCGUUAUCCGGAUUUAUUGGGUGUAGAGGGAGCGAGGGCGGAUUGUCAAGUCAGUAGUGAAAGUUUGCGGCUCAACCGUGGAAUUGCAGUUGAAACUGGCAGUCUUGAGUACAGUAGAGGUAGGCGGAAUUCGUGGUGUAGCGGUGAAAUGCGUAGAUAUCAGGAGGAACACCAGUGGCGAAGGCAGCUUACUGGACUGCAACUGACGCUGAGGCUCGAAAGUGUGGGGAGCAAACAGGAUUAGAUACCCUUGUAGUC
rnacentral:rRNA from 1 species